UUUAAGUCUGAUGUGAAAUCUUGCGGCUCAACCGCAAGCGGUCAUUGGAAACUGGGAGGCUUGAGUACAGAAGAGGAGAGUGGAAUUCCACGUGUAGCGGUGAAAUGCGUAGAUAUGUGGAGGAACACCAGUGGCGAAGGCGACUCUCUGGUCUGUAACUGACGCUGAGGCGCGAAAGCGUGGGGAGCAAACAGGAUUAGAUACCCUGGUAGUCCACGCCGUAAACGAUGAGUGCUAGGUGUUAGGGGUUUCGAUGCCCGUAGUGCCGAAGUUAACACAUUAAGCACUCCGCCUGGGGAGUACGGCCGCAAGGCUGAAACUCAAAGGAAUUGACGGGGGCCCGCACAAGCAGUGGAGCAUGUGGUUUAAUUCGAAGCAACGCGAAGAACCUUACCAGGUCUUGACAUCCUUUGACCACUCUGGAGACAGAGCUUCCCCUUCGGGGGCAAAGUGACAGGUGGUGCAUGGUUGUCGUCAGCUCGUGUCGUGAGAUGUUGGGUUAAGUCCCGCAACGAGCGCAACCCUUGACCUUAGUUGCCAGCAUUAAGUUGGGCACUCUAAGGUGACUGCCGGUGACAAACCGGAGGAAGGUGGGGAUGACGUCAAAUCAUCAUGCCCCUUAUGACCUGGGCUACACACGUGCUACAAUGGAUGGUACAAAGGGUUGCGAAGCCGCGAGGUGAAGCCAAUCCCAUAAAGCCAUUCUCAGUUCGGAUUGUAGGCUGCAAACU
rnacentral:rRNA from 2 species